rnacentral:lncRNA from 1 species
UUGAGUCUGAAGUCAACCGCGUAGCAUUGUGCAAGGGGGAACACUGUUAUGUAAUCACUGUUUAUAAAGGAAAGGACCAGCAACUUGGUAAGUUAAACUUUAAUUGCUGGCUUUCUUUGUGGGUUUCUUGGUGUGUGUUCGGCACUACCUUGUGGACUGGGACAGGUCAGCCAUGAAUUAAACUGUGAAUAGCUCAGUGGUUUGGCCAAGUUUUGGGUGUGCGAUCCUUUGCUGCGUUUGGCAGAAGCUGUAAACUUCCUGGUGCCAAGAAACUGUUGAGCAUGCUGGUGCUUUGAAGACUUUGUGCGUUGUUAUAGAGUUGUAUUUGUUGUUUCCUUGUGGGCGUGGGGAAUUCACUUAGGCAGUUCCCCCCCAGGUGGGUGAGGAUAGUUUCCUUCCAAUGAAAUGUCUAUGUGGAAUCAACUAUACUGCAAACAAGAUCAACUUGGUUGUGUGAUUUGUAAAGGUAUUUUUGUCUUUGUAUACUCGACUUCUUGUAUGUAAGUUUAUUUAGUAAUCCCUCUCCAUCUCCCAUUGGACUGGACAUGCUUUUUUAGUACUCUCUAUCUAUCUCCCAUUAAAGUGGACGAAUGGUGGAAUUUUUUCCAUGUGAAACCUUAGGCAUCUUUCUGCAGUUUGGUGGAGAGGGAUAGUGCAGAACAGCUUAGGCACGGCCAUCCUGUCUCUAGAGUUGUGGAUGGCUUGCCGUCUGAAAUAGUGCAGGAGUGUUGUGGAAGUGUUUCACUAUCCAGUACCCAACAAGUUAAUAUCUCCAUGAGCAAGCUAGUCUUUUAAGGUUCGCUGCACUAAAUUGAAUCCGGUUUUGCAGUCGUUCGACACUAAAAUUAAGGGUCUGAAACAAAUUUAAUACAAUCAUCAGAAACGAGUGGCUGCUUCGGACUGGGAAGAGAGGAGACCGGGUAUUAUUUCUUGACUAUGCUGCGUUAUAUUACCAAAAGAGAGAGAGAGAGAGAGAGGCAGAGCUACGAUACUCAUAGGCUGUAAACUAAGCUGCUAUUAUCAUCUGGCCGUCUCGUGCUGCGUUGUGGCAGAAAGAUAAGUUACUGUUCCAAGAAGAGGAACAACAUCAAGCUCGGCACCUGUCUUUUUCUCUCCAUUACUGUCUGCAGAAGCUCGACGCAGAAUCUCCAAAACCUCCUUCAUAGAAGGUCUGGUGGAUGGCGAGGAGUGCGUGCAAAUGAGUCCUAGGUUGAAUACAGUGGUCAUUUCUUGCAAGAAACAUGGUUCCUUAAUCUCCUGGUCAAGGCAAUCAACAACAGGCUUUCCCUGUCCAAACUGCUGCCAUGCCCACUCUGCAAGGCUGGUAUGCUCAUCUCCACUAUUAGGUUCUCUUCCAGUCGCCAAUUCCAGGAGUACAACUCCAAAGCUAUAGACAUCUAUCUUUUCAUUCACCCUUGUCGUAUAGGCAUACUCUGCCAUAAAAAUGAGGAAAAAAUAGAUUUAAAUGGUGUGGUGUGAUCUCAAAAUUCUGAGUUGGAAUUAAAUGAACAGUGAAUAUACUUGAUAAAGCACAUUGAAGUUGUUGAAUGAUCUUACCAGGGGCCAUAUAACCGAAAGAACCUGCUACAACAGACAUGGUAUGAACCUCUCCUUGCUUAGCCAAUAUUCUGGCCAGUCCAAAAUCUGCUAUUCUUGCCUUCAAUUCAGAAUCCAACAAGAUAUUACUAGACUUCACGUCUCGAUGAAUGAUAGGAGUGGAGCAGUCAUGAUGCAUGUAGCUUAGGCCUCGUGCAGCUCCAAUGGCAAUCUGGAACCUUGUGGGCCAAUCCAAGACAGAAUUAUGGACUGAACUUGUUCCCAUUGAUGAACUUCUCUUCCUCCCAUGAAGCCAUCUAUCAAGGCUUUGGUUCUCCAUGAACUCAUAAACAAGAAGCUUUGAGCUCUCACUUGAAAUACAGCACAAUAAUUUAACUAUGUUUGCAUGCCUAAUUGUUCCCAGUAUCUGAACCUCCGCCAAAAAUUCCUUUUCAAGAUUGUGAUCCAUUGUUUCAUUAUUCCAAAUCCUCUUGACAGCAACGUAGUCACCUGCACGGUUUAUGGCCACCCGGUAUACCUUCCCCGAUCCUCCACUUCCAAUCAGAUUAUUUUCUGUCAAACUUGCCAAAACGUUUGCUUCUGUGAAGUCCAAUCUCUGGAACGAGGUCAGCUUCCAUGCUGCCAGAUCACGUUUUGCCUUCUUUCUUUGGUAGUCCCUAACCAUAAACAAGGUGACUAUCGUAGUGACUAGAAAAAUGGUCACAGUAAGAGCCAGAAUCAAGGCAAGAGUUUUAGAGGGCAUUUUUUUAGAGUCGCGAAGUUUAGCAUAGCAAUUUGGAAAGUUUAGAAUUGGAUUAACAGCACAGAGAUUAGAAUUGUUCAGGAAGCUGUUAUCAUAGGCAUGGUUAUCAAACUGAUCUGGGAUUUUCCCAGAUAGAUGAUUGGAGGACAAGUUCAGAGAAACCAGUUUCAACUGGUCAAAUUCAAGAGGGAUUUCACCAGAAAAAUGGUUUUGAGACAAAUCUAAAUAAAGCAGGUCAGGUAAAGACCCGAUCUCCUUUGGGAUCUGGCCAGAAAGUGCAUUUCUUGAGAGAUUUAAACUAGUCAAUGACUUCCAGGAUAUUAUCUUGGAUGGGAGUUGACCUGAAAAUUGAUUUCCAUCAAGCAGAAGAUUUGAAAGGUGAGGCAGACUCGUUAUUUCCACAGGAAUUUCGCCAGAAAGAAGAUUGUUGCUCGCCUUGAAAUCAACCAAGUUCACCCAGCUAGAGAUUCCAGGAGGAAUCGGACCAGAAAAUCUGUUGUUGCCGAGUUCCAACUUUGACAAAUUCCAUGCCAGCUUGCUCGGAAGUCCCCCCGAAAAGGAAUUGUCACUUAACAUCAAGUAAAUCAUAUUGGAGGCUGUCCAAACACCUGCAGGUAUCUCACCUGAAAAGCUGUUGCUGUAAAGCUGAACCGUGAGCAAACUGUCGCAAUUUCCAAGAGACUGAGGCACCCGCCCAGAGAGAUUGUUUUCAAAGGCAACUGCACCCAGCAAGACACCUCCAGCACAUAAAUUCUCAGGCAGUUGGCCACUGAAUUGAUUGGUUGCAACAUCAAAUUCUACAAGUUUUGAAUAAAGGCCCAUUUUAGGUGGCAAGGCUCCACUCAUGUUGUUGCUAAAAACCUUAAAUGCUGUCAGUGCAGGAAGAAGGCCUAUACUUGGUGGUACCUCACCGGACAAGUGAUUGUCAAACAGACUCAGAAGUUGCAAUUUCUUCAACUUGCCAAAAUCUUCUGGAAUCGAACCAUUUAAUUGGUUCAUUGCUAGAUCAAUCUCCACCAAAUUCAACGUUUCGACUCUCUGAGGUAUCUCACCAGACAACUUAUUCUGGAAGAGAUACAAAUAAGUCAAAUUCUUCAACGAAAACAACCCAUCAGGAAUCUUACCUUCCAAAUCGUUUUCAGCUAAAUCCAAGUGCUCAAGACUUGAAAGAUUGGUCAAGCUCUCCGGUAUUUCACCAAUCAAAUUCGCGAGUCUCAUCCACAGAUACCUCAACUUCUUUAGCUGACCGAACUCCACAGGAAUUGAAGAGGGCACAAACUCAUUAAUCGCCAAUCCCAGCUCUUCAAGAUUGGAAAGCUUACUAAUCUCCUUAGGUAACGUACCGUUGAACUGAUUCUGAUACAGAAACAAUGUCUGCAACCCUGUCAGGUUGGCCAUCUGUGGUGGAAUAUUGCCUGUGAAGUUAUUAGCUCCAAGGUUUAUAUACCUGAGACCUGAUAAUUUAUCAAUAUCAUCAGGUAUUGGACCGAAAAAAAAAUUCUGUGACAGGUCCAAGUGCUGAAGCUUUGUGCAACUGUACAGAACUUUUGGAAAUCCUCCUGGAAUGUGGUUAAAAUUCAUUUCGAGAAAUGUCAGGUUUUUCAGGUCACAAACUGUUGCUGGGAUUGUUUCUGUGAUGUUUUUAUCACCAAGGUGAAGUUCAGACACCGAGCCAUCGCCUCCACAGGUUACCCCUGUCCAAUUGCACGGCGAGGAUGAUGAGUUCCAGGACUGAAUGGACGGUGGAUUGCCAAGUUGUUGUUUCAGUUUUAGGAGUAUAGUUUUUUCAGUGUUGGCAUCUUGGGAAAUUACUCUGAAGGGCAGGGAAAGUAGGAGGACUAGAACGCAGAGGAGGGGUGAAGUUCUGAGAAAUAGGAUGGUUAAUUCGGACAUCCUGAAGGGUUUCAGGUGGUUUUUCCGGUUGGGUUUAUUUUGCCGGGAAGAGAAGGGCGAGGCUUAACGGCAGGAUUUGAAAUGUGGUUGGCAUUUGGCAAAGGAAGAUGAGGGGAGAUGUUGGGUAUAAAUCCGGUGAGCGAAAUGACAUUCACAGCGACAAUAAUUACAUAUGCACCACUGAAAGUGAUUUGAUGAGUCAACGACUAGUAAAAGUUUGUGGUUCUUUCACUGAUCAAUUACUUUAAAUUAAGUGCCCGUUUGUCAUUUGAUACUCUAUGCUUUUAAAAUAGUUUUUAAAUUAUAUUUAGUAUGAAAAUGUUAAAUUAAUAUUUUUAGAUAUUUUGUUGAUAAUAUUAAUAACUUAAUAUUAAAAAUAAUAGAAAUUUUGAAAAAAAAUUAUAUUUUAAUGUUUUUCCAAUAAGAAAAUAAUUUAAAAAAACACCUGUAUUAUGUUAUGAUUCAUUUUAGAUGCUCGUGUUUAGUAUUAUAACCACAAUUGUUUUUUAAAAUAUUUUUUACUUUAAAAUAUAUAUUUUUUAAAAUUAUUUUUGAUAUCAACACUUCAAAACAAUUUUAAAAUAUUAAAAUAUUAUUAUUUUUAAUUUUUUUUUAAAUAUUUUCCAGUACAAAAAUAAAAAUGAAUGAUUUCGUAGAGAACCAUUGCAAUUGAGUCCACUAGGUAUGAGCAAUUGAGCAAAUGGUAACCUUCAAAGUAUGAUGAUAAACAUGCCAUUGUUUCUAGAUACAGCCCACGACAAUUUAAAUAUGGAUUUUUUUUUGUGAUGGAGAAUUUAAUUACUCGCUGAAAUGUAGAAAAGAAAGUUAAUUUAAAUAUAUAUAACUUGUCUUUGAGUGGACUUGAAAAGUGAAUGAUACUAUGAGAUAAUAGAAGUUCUAAAAAAUCUACAUGAUAAUUUCCUAGAAUUUUCUCUAAGAAAAAAAAUUACUUUUAUUUAAAUUUAAAAACCCUUUGAGACACAACAUGUAUAAUAACUUUUAUAAAAUAUUUGUCAUUGUCGUAUCAUUGUGAAAUUUCUCCAACUUAUUUUGUCUUUUAGAAUACAAGUUCUUCAAAUAAAUAUUAUCCAUCAAGACUAACAUGAUUAUUAGAAUCUUGAUAGGAAGAAUGGAUAAUAAAAGUUUAUAUUUUUUUUAAAAAAAUACUAAUAUUGUAGUUCUUAUUUUUUACUCAAUCAUAAUUUUUUUUUAUUUGAUUAGUUAAAUAAGUUCUGUACUUUCAUACUCACUCAAUAUAUAAUUAUGUUUCAAAUCUUAAUUUUAUAAAAGCUAAAAUAAUAAAAAAAUUUAUUUAUUUUAUAUCUAAAAUUUAUCUCACAACCGUUUCAAUUAAAUAUAUAUUUUUCAAAUUUAAUAAUUAAAAAUAUUUUUUAAAAACUACAACAAUACAAAACAUGUGUCUUAAUCAAAAGUGGAUCACACGGAUAAUGGAGGAAAAGCCCAUGGUUUCCUUGCACUAUCAUGGAUUAGGUUGUAAGAGGUAACAACUUUGUAAAGGAGAGAGUAUUUGUGUUCUUUACAAUCUCCCCCCAGAUCCCGUUCUUUGUUGACUGAGGCUGAUAGCUAAUUAACCAAGCUGCUCUAACUAACUAGUUAACCAAGCUGCUCUAACUAACUAGUAAUUACUACAGCGGUACACUUAAAUUCUCAAGGGAUAAUUCUGUAGUUCUUGUACACAGAUGGGUUCCCCGGUCAACACAUGGAUUAGUGUGGUGACGUAAAAUAGGCACGAGGCAGCGACGGGGAAGGAAGGAAGGUUCAUGCCUUGAUUCGUUGUACAAUGUUGACUAUUCUUAUUGAAGUCUUCGGUCAAACUUCUGAAAUUAAAAAUCAUUGUAUUGCUUUUGGAUGUAUCUAUCUAUUUUCCACUUGAGGUGAUCUGGAAGGAUGCAAAGAUCCACUCUCUCUUUAAUGGUGGUGGUGGGGCCAUGUCUUGGACCGUAUGUUAUUUUCUUAAUGAAUGAAGGAAAGAAUAUGGAGGCAUUCUAUGGGAAUAAUAUUUUAUCACUGUAGAAUAUUAAUGGGUGCAAUUUUUUAAAUUUUUCCCAAGAUAGAUUUUCCAUGUCUAAGCUAGAAAAUCUUUUUUUUUUUUUUUUAAUCAUUCCAGAUUGAGCUCUCACUAAAUUAGUGAAAGCAUAGACCCACCAAUUAAAAAUUAAAAUUAACAUUGAUUUUAUCCCAUGAGCUUAAAAGUUAAGGUGAGACAUGACUACCAUGUCCGAGCCCGAACAUCCAGCCCAAACAUUUUGGUAAAAAUUUAGCUCAUAAGAUUAGAGUGGCAAAUGCCUGACAGUAGCCUUGCCCGGCCCACAGAAACAUCUCAAGUCAAAGAAAUCCCCCAGACUAUUGAAUGAAUGCUAAUGUGAACAUGUGAAUAAUAUAAAUCAUAUCCUGGAACCUCAAUUAACAGUUUAAGCUAUUGGGUUGAGAUGAUUUUUUGACAAGAAUUAAACCGAGACAUGAACUAUCAUGUCUGAGCCCAAACAUUUUGGUAAAAAUUUAGCUCUCACUAAAUUAGUGAAAGCAUAGACCCACCAAUUAAAAAUUAAAAUUAACAUUGAUUUUAUCCCAUGAGCUUAAAAGUUAAGGUGAGACAUGACUACCAUGUCCGAGCCCGAACAUCCAGCCCAAACAUUUUGGUAAAAAUUUAGCUCAUAAGAUUAGAGUGGCAAAUGCCUGACAGUAGCCUUGCCCGGCCCACAGAAACAUCUCAAGUCAAAGAAAUCCCCCAGACUAUUGAAUGAAUGCUAGAGUUGUUUAAGUAGAAAUUGCCACAUGCAAGCUGGUUUUUGUACUUGAAUCUAAGAGUUUCAAUUUGAUGGUAUGCAUGUUUAGCUAGAAGGAAUACGACAUCUAUAUUGAUCAGAAGUAAUCUCAAAUCAUGCGCCUGAUUACACGCACACCAGUUCAUGUUUCUUGUCUACAUUUAUAUGUCACAAUUUUUUUUAAUAUUGUUUGUGGAUUUUUGCUGGAUCACUGUGUCAGUAUAAUAAUAAUAAUAAUAAUAAUAAUAAUAAUAAUAAAUUAUGAGGGGUAUAACUCACUAGUCAGGUUUUAAGUUUGCUCUCUAGAAGUCACUAGUUCGAGUCUCAUAAAUCUCAAGGCCACUGGAGGCUUACAUUGUCAUUAACUUCAAGGCCCGUGAAAUUAGUCGAGAUGCACGCAAACUGGUCCGGAAACAAAAAAAAAAAAAAAAUUGUCAUCUAAUAAUGAAAUUUAGCUGUGUUCUACCACUGACUUUGUUAAGUGCUGGAGUCUACAUGCUAGCCUCCAGAUACAAUGGCUGGGGAGAAGUCAUAAGAUUAGAGUCGCAAAUGCCUGACAGUAGCCUUGCCCGGCCCACAGAAACAUCUUAAGUCAAAGAAAUCCCCCAAACUAUUGAAUGAAUGCUAGAGUUGUUUACAAGCUGGUUUUUGUACUUGAAUCCAAGAGUUUCAAAUGGUAGUUCAUGUUUCUUGUCUACAUAUAUAUGUCCCAAUUUUUAAAAAAAUAUUAUUUGUGGAUUUUUGCUGGAUCACUGUGUCAGUCUAAUAAUAAUAAUAAUAAUAAUAAUAAUAGUCGUUAGUGACCUUAAUAAAAUAAAACAAAAUGGAACAAUCAUCAUUCAGGAUGUUAAACCAAAGGGGAAUUCCCCAAUAAUUAGUAGAAAUUUAAAAUCCUAUACCUUUGCUUAAUUAUCUAGAUGUCUUCCAAAAUAUUUUUGACAAACCUAAAAUUAUACCUCGUAAACUGAUUUUCAAAAUGGACCCAAACUAUUAAAAUUUUCAAUUGGAUCCCUAAUGUAUCAUGCAUAUUUUAAUAGGGUUCCGUUUAUAAAUACUUUUUUUUUCCUAGAAAACAUUCAGUUUUCCUCCCAAAAGCCUAUUUAUUGUGAUUUACAUGGAAACCAUUAACAUUAUAGACGAGACUGAAUUGUGAAGUGUCUAAUAUUUUAGUGAUCCAACUGAGAAGAUUGAUAGUUUAAAGACUAAUAUGAGGUUUGGCGAAACAUUUUCAUGUCUAAUUUUCUUUUUUUUUAAUAAACAAUAUUUAGAGUAUUUUUGAACUAAUAUCGAUCAUAUCUAUUAUAAUAAGAAUACUAUCAUUAAAAUAAUAUGGUAAAAUUAGCUAGCUAGAAGUUUAAUUGGAUUAUGGAUAUUGCACUAAUCUAUAGGUAAACAAAGGCUUUAUUAAGGGUUAUGCUGGUGGAUGAGUAAAGGUCCAAACUUUUUAACUUGUAGAUGAUAGGUAAGCUGAUUAUUUGAUCAAUUUUAGUCAUAUUCUGCGUCACCAAAAAAAGAAAAUAUAUUUUGAUUGCUUUAGAAAACAGAAUGUGAACAUGGAAAAUGAAAAAAAAAAAAAAAAAGACUUGAAACUCUCCACUCCCAUCUAAUUUUUUUUCUUUCUUUUCUAGAAGAUAGUGAUAUUUACUAGUUAGCAUGCCCACUUUCUAUGCCUUUUAGAAUAGGACAGGGAAAAUUGCAUCAUCAAACCACACCAUACACGAAGUCAAUAUUCAAUAUAGAUUAGAAUUGCUCCCAUCAUGACUUUCCCCUUUCAAGCAAAGCAAAGGAAGUGCAAAGGUGAAACACGUUCGGAUGAUGUCAUUAUUGUUUUAUCUUACUUUUUUAUGGAUAUAAUAAUAAUUAUUUUUAAAAGUAUUUUUUAUUUAAAAAUAUAUUAAAAUAAUAUUUUUAUUUUAUUUUUAAAUAUUAUUUUUAAUAUCAGCAUACCAAAAUAAUCUGAAAAUAUAAAAAAAAAUUUAGUUUUUCCUUAACUAUAUAUUUAAAAAAAAAAUAGUUGCAGGAAAGGAUUAGAGGCUCCGAGACCCUGACACCGGGAAGCCAACCAAGUUCAAAAACUGAAAGCCCAAUCACUUGAGAUAUGCCUGGCCGUUUUAUCUUUUCCUCGACAAUAUGCAUCUCCCGAGGGAAAUAGACUGUUGUAGGCUGUCUGAAAAAAUAAGAAAAUUGAAAUAGGAGGAAACAGGAUAAAUAUGUUCUCGAGAAACUAUAUUACAGUUCCAAGUAUAAUUAUAUUAAAUAAUAAUGAAUUAUGCUUUUUACCUUGUUUAAGUGUAUCUUGUUUGUAAAAAUAAAUUUUUGAGAAUUGACAAGGAGUUUUCUUACCAGAGUUAUUUCUUCUUUUUAUUUUUUAUUCGUUUCUUUUUCUUGUAUUGUUGUCUGUUACCAUUAACAUACAUAAUUAUAAAAAUGAAAAGUUACUAACUUUUGACAGUUAUUGUUAGGAUGCAACUUUCAUCUUUUUCCUUAUAUUAUCUUAUUAAUAUAAAUAAUAUUAAGCCAUGUUUAUUUCCCGGAAAGUGAUUUCUGGAAAAUCACUUUCCAAACUUUUCUAUGUUUGUUUGCCAUUAGAAAAGUUGGUCAAUGGAAAACACUUUCCAGUCAAAGAAAAAUUUGGCUUGGUUUCCAAGAAAGUGUUUUCCUGAAAAAUUUAAACCGAAAACACUUUCCAGAAGUUGUGAAAAAUUUAAAAAUAUCAUAUUAUUUGCUGAUUAUAUCAAAUUUGGUCCUCAAACUUUUGAUUGCUAUAUAUAUUUUGUUUUGAAUAUUUAUUUUUCAAUUUCAUCUCUUAAAAUUUAAUUUUUAUAUUAACUUCGGUUCUCAUUUUUAUAAUUGUUAUUUGCUUUUUUCUUAUCAUUUUUUUAUUGAAAUUUUUUAUCUAUCAAAUUUGAUACUCAUUCUUUUGAUUGUUAUUUAUUUUAUUUGAAAUAAUUUAUGAAAUGUUAAUUAUUAUUAUUUUAAUUUUUUUUUUUAGAUUUGAUCUCUAUUAUUUUGAUUAUUAUUUAUUUUAUUUGAGAUAAUUUAUUAAAUUAUAUUUUUUUCAAUUUCAUUCUCAUUCAACCUUUUGAUUUGUAAGAUUUGUUCCUCAUUAUUUUAAUACACUUGAGAAAAAUAAAACAUUAAUAAGUUAUUUUUCAGCUCAUUUUCCAUGACAUAACCAAACACUGGAAAAUGUUUUCCAACUUAUUUUCCAUUACACUACCAAACAUCAGAAAAUAAUUCACUUUCCCGGAAUUCACUUAAAAAAAAAAAACUACUUUCCAGCAAACAAACGGGGCCUUAAUAUAUAUGGAUUUGGUUGACCAUCAUAGGUGACCCAAAGCCAAUUUUUUCCUUAACAUGCCAAUAUACAAUGGCUCCAAAAAGUGCAAGCAUGACAUUGAAGAUAGGAAAUGACAUGGAAAUAAUAGUUGCUAACACCACAAACAUUGUUCUCCAUAUCAGCCUUAAAAAGUUGAUGUUACGAUCUAACUUUGAUUUGCCAAGGGUUAGAGGGUAUUCUCCUGUUACAAAUUUUGAUGAUAGCACAAGAUUUAAUUAUACUAAAUAAGGCUGAUAUGGUAACACAAGAGUGUUCUCUAAUGGUUCUACUAAUGUUGGGUUAUUUGAGUUUGACUUGGUAAUGCAAAUGAAUAAAGUCCGUAAUGAUGUUUAUUGUCAACCCAUGGGCUAACUUUGAACUCGAAUUUGCAUCUCUUCACUACAUGGAAAAAUAAUCUUAUCAUAAAUGGGUUUCAAGUUCAGAAUGUGAUCUUUUCAUAUUGCCCAACCAUGCAUACCUAGAGGUUUUCUACAAUAAGUUAUGUUUGUUUUAGUUUUUAAGCUUCCUAAGUGCCCGUUUGUGUUUCUAAAAAGUAAAAAAUAUGUGCUAGUUAAUAUUUGUCUAAUUUUCUAUCAAGGUCAUUUAUUUGGGUUUCAAUUAUAUCAUUUUGGUGCCUCCCUAUACUUGGAGGGUUGUUCCAAGUAUAUAAUGAUGAUUCAUACCAUGUAUUGAGAUCUUUUGGCAAAAAAAGUUUGAAUUGAGAGUCUUUGACUUAGUCCUUUGGCAAACUAUCAAGUUUUGUAUCUUUUUUGUGUGUAGUUGCUUAUCCAUUAACUCAGUAUCUUUAAAAUAGUGUUUUAAUUUGUAUCUUUAGAGUGGUGCGUUGCUCAUGGUUGUAUCUAUUCGGUUUUUCACCUUAGAGUGGUGAGCGAAAAUAUUUCUUUGUGUGAGUGACUUGUUACUAUGCGAUAUCCAUACCAUCUCAAUGUCAAGUUGGUAGAAACUUAUGAAGAGAUGCCCAAUGAGUUGAAUUUCUACAAACUUUUAGUUUCUCUAUGAAGCACAAAUAUGGAGUCAUAAUGUUGUUGCUAAUGCUUUAAAUUGAAGAUAUUUGUUAUUGACUAAUACGCAAAUGGAAGUGACAGGUUUUGAAGUGUUGAAAGAUCUCUACAAACAUGAUGAUUAUUUUAACAAGAUAUGGGAUAAAUGCAAAAGAUGUGUUUCCAAGCAUAUUAUUGUGCUGAAGGGUUAUCUUUUCAAAGGAAACCUUUUGUGUAUUUCUCAUGAUUCUUUUAAGGAAGCCAUUUUCUUUAAAGUUUACAACGGUGGAAUUGAUGGACGCUUUAAGAGAGACAAAACACUUACUAUGAUCUAAGAUAAUUUUUUCUAACCGAAGAUGGAAAGAGAUGUUACAAAGUUUAUAUAAUAUUGUAGGACAUGACGUAUUGUUAAAUCACAUAGUUAUAAUUCAAGUUUAUACACUCCAAUUUUGAUAGCUAAAGCUUAUUGGGAAGAUGUCGAUAUGGAUGUUAUGUUAGGCUUGCCUAGAAGUCCAAGGAACAAAGAUUCAGUUGUAGUAGUGGUUGAUCCUUUCUAAAAAAUGACACACUUUGUUCCAUGUAGCAAAACACUUAAUGCCACUAACAUUGUUGAUUUAUACUUCAAGAAGAUUGUUAUACUUUGUAGAAUUCUAAAAAACAAUAACUUCGGAUCGAGAUUCCAAGUUUAUGAGUCAUUUUUGGUGUAUAUUUUGGAGGAAACUUGGAACUCAUCUUCAAUUCAAAACAACUUAUCAUCCACAAACUGAUAGAUAAACUAAAAUCAUUAGUUGGAGUUUGGGGAGUCUUUUUAGAAGUUUGGCGAAGAAGAAUAUUUGAGACUAGGAUCUUGCAUCGCCACAAGCUGAAUUUUCUUACAACCAUUUUACCAGCCAAAGUACUGGUUGUAUUCCUUUUUAAGUUAUAUAUGGUCAGAAUCUGCUGAGUUCAUUGGACUUAAUUUCUCUUCCAAAAAGCUAGAAUUUUAGUGGUGACGCUAAAGAAAUGGCCAAUUGGCUUAAAAAGUUGCAUGAACAAGUUCAUGACAAGAUCGAAAGGCAAAAUUAGAAGUAUCAAGCUCAAGCUAAUAUGUAGAGCUCAAAGAAGGUGAUCUGGUUUGGGUAUAUCUUGACAAAGAAAGGUUUCUAUAUGGUAAGUUUGCAAAGCUCAAAUCUAGGGUUGAUGGUCCGUAUAAGGAUUUAAAAUGGAUUGAUGAAAAUAUUUACAAGAUUGAGCUACCCACACAUCUAAACAUUUUACACAAUUUUAAUGUGGCUGACUUAGGUUCUUACUAUGGUGAUUAUAAUACAUAUGACCUAAGGAUGAGUAUUUUUCAACUAGGAGAACAUGACACAUGAGUAUCCUCUAAUGGUCCUACUGAUGUUGGGUUAGUAAUACAAAUGAAUAAAGUCCUUGAUAAUGUUCACUAAUAGCCCAUGGGCCAACUUUGAGCCUGAAUUUACAUCUCUUCACUAUAUGGAAAAAUAAUAUUAUCAUACGUGAGUUUCAAGUUCAGAAUAUGAUCUUUUUAUAUUCACCAACCAUGCAUGCCUUAGAGUUUUCUAUAAAAAGUUAUGUUUGUUUUAGUUUUUAAGCUUUAUAAGUGUCCGUUUGUAUUUUUAAAAAGUAAAAAAUAUAUGCUAGUUAAUAUUUAUCUAGGUUUUUUUUUUUUUUAUCAAUGUCAUUUAUGGGCCUCAAUGAUGUCAUUUUGGUGCUUCUGUAUACUUGGAGGGUUGUUCCAAAUAUAUAAUGAUAAUUCAGACCAUGUAUCGAGAUCUUUUGGUAAAAAAAUUGAAUUAAAAGUCUUUGACUUGGCCAUUUGAUAACCUAUGAAGUUAUGUAUCUUCUUUGUGAAUGGUUCGGUUUUGUACCUUAGAGUGGUGAACAAAAACAUUUUUUUUUUUGUGAGUGACUUAUUAUUUACAAUAUUCAUACCAUUCUAGUAUCAUAAUGGAUAUUCACAGUUAGCUAUCAAGUAUAAAAAUUAGAUAUUUAUAUCCAAUUUAUUAAAUUUCAUUUAUUCAAUUAUAUUUCUAUUACCAUAUAUAUAUCUUCGAGUUUAUAUUAUGUUUAUAAAGUUUGAUAAUAUACAUAUUAUAUCUAUUAUAUAUUAGAUAAGAUAAUUAUCUAAAAAAAAAAAAUCCACCCAUUCUGAAGUUGAUAUCCAUUAGAUUCGAGAGAAAUUAUCAUCUUCACUUGUAACUGUCCAUAAAAAUAUAAUAAUCAAGUUAGCAAAUUUCUUCCAAAAAUAAUAAAAAAAAAACCUCCAUCCCAUAGCAUAAUGCACAUAUAGGUCAAGUCAAUCACCUUGGGUGAAAUCCACCUAUCAUGUUUCCUAGUGCAUUUUUUUUCAAAUGCUUAAAGCACGAAUCAUGUAGAAAGUGGUCAAAGUUACUCCACCUAUCUUGUCACCUUCUUCGUCAUUUCAAUUUCAGGCGGGGAUGAUCUUAGUGUGUCCUAAUAAUUAACAGAAAAUAAAGUGGAAAAUUUUAAUGUGAGAACUUUAGAAAGAUGUAAAUUUUUAUACGGUCACUCAAACCAGAUUCUUGAAAAUGUACUGAAUUCCCUCGUGUUUUGAAUUAUAAAAUUAAAUCUACGUUAGAUUGGUAAAUUAAAACAAAUGGCCCUGCUACUUCUAAUGCUUAAUGUGUAGAUGAAUUAAAAAGCACAAAUCUACACCUCACAAUUAUAUAAAGAGCCUCAAGGAAUGCCCAAAAAAAAAACACAAAAAAAAAAAACAAAAUUCCACUCUAGCACUUUUGAUGUUGAUGUAGAAAGAGCACGCAACAUAUGUAUCUGGGUUGCUUUUCGUAGGCAUAUUGUUUUUAACAUUAGGAAAAUCUAAGAGUAUGAUAUGAAGCAAACUAUAUUGUUAUACACUAAAAUUAACCAAAAAUUUAUGAAAUCUGGAUCGGAAAAAAUAACCCAAACUUGAUUAAAGAUCAGACUUGUAUAAAAUAACAUAUCAUCUAAAAAAUACAGUAAUAAAAUAAAGAAGUGGGCUUGAACAAUUUUGAGCAAUUGACAGUAACAUGAGUGGUGAAAAAAAUGAUAUAAAGAAUCUACAUGCUGCAACAUCCUUAAAAUAAAAAAUUAAAUAGAGUGAAUGUAUAGUUACUUGAAGUUACUUUGUAUAGAAUAGAGUAAACGAGUAGUUACUAAAAAUUACCUUUGAACUGUUCUAUAUAAAAAAAGAUGCAGACCAGGUUCAAAAGCUGAAGGGCCAACCCCCUUAUGCUUAGCCUUUUAAUCUUAUUCUGGGCAAUGUGCAUCUCCACAGGGAAAUAGACUGUCAUGGGCCCAUAUGAAAUUGCCCCAAGAAGUGCAAGUAUUUCAUUGAAGAAAGGCAAUGCCAUUGCAAGCAAAGUUGCUACCACAACAAAGGUUGUUCUCCCAGUUAGCCUUAAGAAGUUGAUGCUAAAAUGUUUAGGUUACUGGUUUCCUUGGUGGAGUAAGCUGGGCUCUUCUAGUUGCCCGAGUGUGCCAGCUUUAUCCUAAUGCUAUUCCUAGUAUGCUAGUCUCUCGGUUCUUCAGAGUUUAUACACAAUGGCGUUGGCCGAAUCCUGUGAUGCUAUGCUCAAUAGAAGAAGAUGCACUUGGGUUUCCUGUGUGGGAUCCUCGCAAAAAUCCUCGAGACCGGUUUCAUCAUAUGCCAAUAAUAACUCCUGCAUAUCCUUAAAUGAAUUCUAGCUAUAAUGUGUCUACAAGUACUCUUCGUGAUAUGUGAGGUGAGAGCACAAGUAGCAAUCUAUUUUCCUCUACUUUCCUACAUUAUACUAUUGAUACUUUGUUGCCUUGUCACUUUGUUCUCUUUGCAGGAGAUUGAGCUGAACAAGGCACAGUGGAGUGCUCUUUUUGAGCCUUAUCUUUUCUUUGAGGCAUACAAAAAUUACCUGCAAGUUGACAUAGUUGCAGCAGAUGCUGUUGAUUUGCUAGCUUGGAAAGGCUGGGUAGAGUCUCGGCUUAGACAACUUACCUUGAAGGUAAGCAUCUUACCUUGUAAUCUUGUUGCUGAUAUACUCCUUUCAGAUUUUUGCCAUGUUUUCUAACGUAGUAGUGAGUAUUUGUCUUAUUUGAAGACAAGAUGAUCCAACAAAGUAUGACAGCUGUCUUGCUUUACUUGCUGUCCUUUCCAUGUGACAUUUCUCAGAUAGAGCGGGACACCGAUGGGAUGCUGUAGUGCCAUCCUUAUCCAAAUGAGUAUAUCGAUCCGUCCAAGCAAUGCGCACAUUGUGCUUUCUUCAUGGGCUUGCAGAGGAAAGAGGGAGUGACUGGCCAGGAGGGCCAGCAAUUUGAUAUACGGGAAACCGUUGAUGAGUUUAGGCAAGAUAUAAACAUGUACUUGCCUUGGAAAGCAGGGAUGGAUAUUUAUGUCUCUCAUGUUCGUAGAAGACAGCUUCCGGGCUUUGUUUUCCCUGAUGGGUACAAGCGUUCCCGACCAUCACGACAUAUGAACCAACAGACUAACAGGACUAGUGAAGAUGUUGCAAGAUCCCAGUCUGGGUCUGCUGAGAGACAUGUUAAGCGGAAAAAUGAUUGUGAAAUGGCAAAUUUGAAGCCAGUUAAACCGUACAAGCCCACAAAGACUGCAGUCUGUUUCUCCUUCUAGUAGUGCUGGUAGGUCUGGUGUGACAUCUCUGGCUAGUUCCUGUGAAGGGGUUAUAUUAGGGCGUCCAACCAUUGGGGACAUUGUUAGCAACUGCGAGGAUGUUGCUAGCAACUCCGAGGUUAGGUCAACUAGUGGGCAGUUAGAGAGCAGCUGGGUGUGACUGUCUAUCAGGAGUCACCCUUAAAUCAGCGGACCUCAAUGGAUGUACAUGAUUCACCAAUAGUUAGGAAUGAGCUAGAACCAGCUGCUCAUAUGAAUGGCUCAGAGCCAAUGGGAUUGAUGUUUGAUCCAAUUACAAAGCAGGAGCUGGUCAGUUCACAUGAAGUGCCAAAUUUUGAAACUGGGGAAAAACAUAAGGUUGGUGUGAAUGACAUAAUUGAGGAUUUGGGGUCAAAUUUCUUGGAGAAUGGAUCUUCAAGGAAACUGAUAAAUUGGGUUGGGGGUGCUAGUCGAGGCAUGGAGGUUGACCAAGAGCUUGUCAAACCAUGUAGUCAGACAGCUGUCGUAGAAUUUGCUGAAAGUGUUACAAGUUCACAUUCUGGCUCUCAGAACCUCAACUACGAGGUGAGUUAUUCUAUUUGAAGUUUUUGGAUUAAAGAUUGUUGUGGAUAGUUGUGGCAAUACUAGAAGUUCCGGCAAUAGUGAGAGUGGGGGUCUUUGCAGGGUAAUGUGUGUGCUGUGGAUGCGGAUUCACUUCUGGAAAGUGGAUGUUUGAAUGUGAGCGGAUCUGAGUAGUAUUGCAGAAUGGCUUGCCAGAAGAAUUAGAGGUUUAAACUCUGAAUUGCUGUUUUACUUUACUAUUACUAUCUAAUAAAGAAUUUUCGACAUUUACUCACUGUGUUGCCCGUUCAUUUCUCUUUCUUUCCUCCUCUUCCCUUGGAACUGGGUCAUUGCGACAAUGACUCUGUUUUUAUGAAAAUUUUAUGUGGAGAAUCUUGCAUUUGGAUUCCAGAAAUUUGUUAGAGACCUCCAGCCUUGUAAUCCUUGCAGUAGGAAAUCAGGACCUAAUGUUGAAUGGUUCCACGCAACGAGAUCUUUACUGUUGGCAGAUCCAAAAUUAGCAGAUGAAUUUGAAACGUCUGAAUUGUUCUUUUAUAUUCUAGGUUUCAUUUUUGUACAACUACUGUAACUCUGUAAGGUUCAGUAAUUAAUACUUGUUCAAUAGUCUUACCAUGCUAAUUGUUUUGCACAGAGUAUCUCCCAACUGGUGCAUGUGUGGUGACAGGUCCUGCACCACUAUAGUGCUAUGUUUCCAGUAAUUGUGCUUAAGAACCUGACCAUGUUUUAUGUCUAAGGCUCAGAUACAUUAACCCUUCCUUUGAUUUUUUUUCUCCAAUAUUUGUCAGGAAGUUAACCCACCUCCUUGCCUUUCUUUUGUAUCAUGUAGCCGAAGACUGCAAUUGGGAAAGUUUUAAAUUCUCAAGAUGGUGCAAGGUCAGAAUCUUUGCAGAAGCCAAUGAUAAGGCAUGCAUUUUAAAACCCUGAUUUUCAUCAUGCUAAUCAUGGUAUCUUUAUGCUGUCCUGUUUGGUUGGUUGCAUGGCUCUCUCUUUGCAGGUUGAGUCUGAAGUCAACCGCGUAGCAUUGGGCUAGGGGGAACACUGUAAUUUAAUCACUAUUUAUAAAGGAAAGGACCAGCAACUUGGUAAGUUAAACAUUAAUUGCUGGCUUUCGUUGCGGGUUUCUUGGUGUGUGUUUGGCAGUACCCUGUGGACUGGGACAGGUCAGCCAUGAAUUAAACUGUGAAUAGCUCAGUGGUUUGGCCAAGUUAUGGGUGUGCGUUCCUUUGCUGCGUUUGGCAGAAGCUGUAAACUUCCUGGUGCCAAGAAGCUGUUGAGCAUGCUGGUGCUUUG